GGCGGCCGGGCGGCAGCGGGGCGGGGCGGCCCCGGGGCUCCGAGCGCCGCCUCAGCUUCUGCGAGUGGGUGUCCGGGGGGGGCGCCGGGGCGGGGAGUCCUCUCCCACCCCUCCCCUCACUUCCUCCCGCCCCCGCUCCCCGUUCUGACCCCCAGGGUCCUCUGUCUGUCCCCCUCCCUCCCGAUCCCUCCUCGCUCCCCCACUCUCAUCCCUUCUGUCUCCUUUCCCGCCCCCCCCACAGCUCUCCCCACGUUGGCCCCUCCAUCCGUCUCCCCCCUCUGACUCCCCUCUGUCUGCCCCCCGGGGUCCCCCGUCUUCCCUCUUCCUUCUCCCUCCCCCCUGCUGACCCCAUGUGCUGACCCCUAGAGUCCCCUGUACCCCCCAUGCCCUCCUCCCUGACCUCUGGAGUCCGCUCCCCCAUUUUGACCCCCAGUAUCCCCCAACGGGACCCCCUUUAUGUCCCAUAGAAGCCCCCCCUGCGACCCCCAGCUCUCCCCUCCCUCCACCCCACAGAAGCCCCACUCACACAUUCUCCCCCCCCCCAAGAUUCCACACAACCCCCUCUCCACCCCCAGACUCCCUUUCCACCCCACAGAAGCCCCACUAACCCCUUUCCCCCCCCCCUUCAGCCCACCUUUUCCCCACUUAGAAUCGUGCCGAGGGAUCUGGAGACGUCCUAGAGAGGUUUGGGGGCAUCCAGGGGGUUCUGGACUCAUGCAGAAGAGUCUGGAGAUGUCCAAGGAGGAUCCAGGGAGUCCCCAGGUAGGUCCUGUGGGCCCCUGGAAGGGUCUGGCAGCUCCCACGAUGGGCCCAGGAGCUCUGAGGAGUCUCUGGGCUGAUCUAGAGAUGUCCCAGUAGAGUCUGCGAGGGUCCAGGGAGUCCUCGUGUGGGUCUGAGUGGUCAUCCAGAAGGGUCUGGGGAUGGCCCAGAGUGGACUGGGAGGGUCCGGGGGGUCCUUAGUUGGGUUUAGAGGGUCCUGUUGUCCUCUGGAAGGGUCUGAAGAUGUCCCGGAAGUGUCUUGGGGUGCCCAGGGGGUGCUCAUGUGGGUCUGUGGGGUCCUGGAGCCAUCCAGAAGGGUCUGGGGGUGUCCCAGAAAGGCCUUGGAGGGUCCAGAGGGUCCUCCUGUUGAUCCAUGGGGUCCACAGAUUCAUCCAGAAGGGUCUGGAGCUGUCCAGGACGGAUCUUGUGGGGUCCAGGGGGUCUCCAGGUGUGUCCAGGGCAUCCUUGCAGUCAUCCAGAAGGGUCUGGGGAUGUCCCAGGAGUGUCUUGGGGUGUCCAAAGUGUGCUCAUGUGGGUCUGGGGGGUCCUGGAGCCAUCCAGAAGGGUCUGGGGAUGUCGCAGAGAGGACUGGGAGGGUCUGGGCGGUCCUUAGGUGGGUUCAGAGGGUCCUGUUGUCUUCUGGAAGGGUCUGAAGAUGUCCCAGAUGUGUCCUGGGUGUCCAAGGGGUGCUGUCACUGAGCCUCCCACUGUCCUUUGUCACCCCUCCAGGCCUGCCUGCAGCCGGACCCGGUGACACCGGAGCCCUGUGGCGCUGUCAGGAGGUGAACUCUGUGCCACCAGCAGAGGGGACCACGGGUGACAUCAGUGUGGAACAGCCGUGACGCGGCGGCGUUGUCAUUGGGUGUCACCGUCACGCAGAGGGGACAAAAGGACCCCCCUGGGGGCAUUGCGUCGAAGUUGGGGACACCGUGAGCAGCUUGAGGACUUCCCAGGGGAAGUGGGGGCACCGCGUCACCGUGUCACACCCCAAAGGUGGGGACGCCCCCACAGUGUCACACCCCAAAGUUGGGGGCACCCCUGUAGUUUCACACCCCGAAGUUGGAAAAACCCCCACAGUGUCACACCCCAAAGUUGGGGACGCCUCUGUGUCACCCCAAUGGUGUCCGACCCCAAAGCUGGGGACACUCCACAGUGUCACACCCCAAAGUUGGGGACGCCCCGACAGUGUCACAUCUCAAAGUUGGGGUCUGUCCCAGAGGUGGGAGUGCCCCCACAUCCCCACCAUGGCGUCACAUCCCAAAGUUGGGGACCCCCAUCUGGGGACCCAUUCAGUGCGUCCCCCAUUGCAGACCGCACUGUUCCCAUGGGGUGGGGGCGGGGAGCACCCUUUAUUUUUGGGAUUAAAGUUUAUUUCGUGAUAAAGGGGCGUUGGGGGAUGCCCCCCCCACGUGAAUAAAGGGCAGAGGAGCGGCUGUGGGGCUCCGUGUGUCACACCAGGGGGUGCUUUGGGGACACUGCAGCAUCCCAGGCCCAUAGCCCCCAUGGCCCUAUAACCACUACAGCCCCAUCUUGUAGCCAUCCCAUAUCCAUAUCCCAUCCCAUAUCCCAUCCUGUAUCCAUAACCCUUCCAAUACCCAAACCAUCAUAUCCAUCCCACACCCAUAUCCCAAAUCCAUCCCGUAUCCAUAUCCCAAAUCCAUCCCGUAUCCAUCCCCUAUCCCAUGUCCGUAUCCCCGUAUCCCAUCCCAUAUCUCAUCCCGUAUCCGUAUCCCAUCCCAACUCCAUGCCAAAUCUCUUUCUAUAUCCACAUCACCUUAUCCAUCCCAUAACCAUCCCAAAUCCAUCUCAAAUCCAUAUCUCAUCCCAGACCGAUCCCAUCUCCUUAUCCAUCCCGUAUCAAUGUCCCAUCCCUUAUCCAAUCCCAUACCCCAUCCUAAAGCGAUCCCACAUCCAUACCCCCACAUCCCAUAUCCUAUCCCCAUCCUGUACCCCAUGUCCCAUAUCCAUUUCCAUCCCACAGCCUUUCCAAAUCCAUAUCCCCGCAUCCAUCCCGUGUCCACCCCAUAUCCAUUCCGUAUACUUAUCCCAUCCUAUGAUCAUCCCAAUGCCAUCCCAUAUCCAUAUCCCGUCCCAACUCCACCCCAUAUCUUUCCCAUAUCUUUGCCAAGUCUGUCCCGUACCCGUAUACCCACUUCCCGCAUCCCAAUCCCAAUCCCAACCCCAAUCCCAACCCCAAUCCCAAUCCCACACCUCAUUCCCAAUCCCACAUGCCAAUCCCGUAUCCCGCAUCCCAAUCCUUAUCCCGAAUCCCUAUUCCAAUCCCACAUCCCAGCCGCAUGUACCAUGUGUCAAUCCAUCGCAAUCCCAAAUCUCAUAUCCCAGUCCUAACCCCAAUCCCACACCCCAAUCCCAAUCCCAUCCCCUAUUACAAUAGGGCACACUCCGGGCCCCUCCCGCAGCUCCGUCCCGCCCCCAUCUUCUCAUUGGCUGAGGUUCAGCACCGUCCCUGCCCCGGCCUUUCAUUGGCUGAGCCGCAGUUCCAUCCUGCCUCCAGCCUCUCAUUGGUCAGGUGCAGCUCCGUCCCGCCGCCGGCCUCUCAUUGGCUGACGCGCAGCCCAGUCCCGCCCCCAUCCUCUCAUUGCUCAGCGGCAGCGCCGCCGGCUCCCAUUGGCUGAGGCG
ensembl:lncRNA